GAGUCUUGACGGUGGGCAAAGGACUCUGGAAACUCUGAGUGACGAAUCUGGCAUAAGAGGUCAUUGGUCAUAUUUAUAUUUUUGUAGGCUUGGUGGAUACUCACUUGGUGAUGUGUUCGGGACAUUUGAUCACGUGCUUUCAGGAAAGAAGACCUGAAACCUUCUGAGUCUGAGGCCUGAACCCUUGAAACUUAUCUUGGGAACUGCUUUGGCUGCCUCGGUGGAGCCAGUCUAAAUGCACAUGUGUUAAUUAACUCCUCCUAGUUUUAAAGACUAGCCUUUAGUUUCACAAAGUUUCAGAUACCCCAGAGGAAAGGAAGCGAAUCCAUCACAGCAGCAGUUCUCAAUCCUGGCUGAAUAUUAGAAUCACUGGGGAGCUUUAAAAAAAAUCCUGGACCCUUUCUAGAUUUUGUUUUUAAACUAUAUCUGGACCCUACCCCAGAGAUUUCGAUUCAGUUGGUCCAGGGUGGGGACCCCCUGGAUUCUGAUAGGCAUCCAGUGUUGUGAACUGCUGUCUCUGGAGGGCCCAGCAGAAGAUCAAAGGCCUCAGAUAGUGUUCAGCCAAACUCAGCUACGUGUCAUAUGUUCUGCCCAACGAGGACAUGUUUCUGUUGUUUCAGACAUCAGUUGUCUCUGGGUUUUGAUGGCUCUUCAGAUAAUAAGAGCAGGUGGCCAUGGCCUUGGCAGGCCGAGGAGUCUGGCCGGUGUGAGUGACCUUGGCUAGCAUAUUGGAAGACAUGGACCCAGAGAAGAAAGCGUAAGGUAUGGUGGGGCAGCGGAAAGGACACUGGGUCUAGGCAUCUCAAGACUUCUGCGCCCAGUAAGGGGUCAGGAAUUAUACAUCGGACCAGAGGCAUUUGAGAACAUUUACAGGCUGUUGACAGGAACCAGUACAGAGGGAGGUAUAAACACAGGAGAGGGGAGGAUGGAUCAUUGAGAACUGAACCCUGGAGAGUUCUUGGGAUGGAUUGGAUGUGGACAGGAAGAGGGUACCACAUUUUCUCACUUGAGAACGACAAUCUCCAGGUCCACCCAUGUUGUUGCAAAUGGAAUGAUUUUAUUCUUUUUCAUGGCUGAGUAGUAUUCCAUUGCAUAGUGCCCAAGUUUUAAGGAGAACUGGGAGAGGCCUCCUCUUGAGGUAACCAACCAUUUUGACUUUGAACCCAACAACUCUUCCAUGAGGGGGCCGGCAAAGCUGGGGACCCGGCAGGUGCGCAGCUUGCUUGGGGCAGAGCCUCGAAGGCCCAGGGGUCCCGCCUCCCCGCACGCCCCUGUGCCGCACCCUCGCCAGGCUCACCCCCGGACAGAGGCUGGCUCUUUCAGAAAUGGACCGAAAAUGACCUCAGGGUCCUGAGCUUAAGGGGCUCCCUGACUCCUUCCUGAGUUUUCGGGCAUCCUAGGUAUCGAGUAAGACAGGACAACAGCUCAAAACCGGCAGACGGGUCUGGGCCGGCCAGCCAGCUUGCUCUCUGUCAGCCGGGGUCCCUUUAAGAUGCAGAACUGGGGAGGUCAAAUGCAGGCCAGUGGAAGUUUCCACGCUCCGUGUGUCUGGGCCCGCGUCUCUGUCUAUCUCUGCUGGGGAAGGGUGGGCCCUGUUCCCACAGGCCUGAGAUUUAUGACUUCAGUCUGGGAGGCGGUGUUGGCCUUUACUUCUUGGCAUGAACAAUGGUAAACAGAGUUGCAGAGAAAAUUUGGAACUGGUAUCCGUCAGCCUGAGUCAGACUAACUCUCUGGUUCUUUCUUUGUGAGUUGUGCAUGCGCGCGUGCACACACACACACGCACGCACGCACACAAUGUGCACAUGUGCCAGCUGUAAAAUGAGACAAGAGUCAUAGAAUGGUUGGCUUUGAGAUCUCAAAUACUCAACCCAAAUAAAUCACCAGACUCCCUUUGACCACUUAAGGCUUCAACUUUAGUGUCACCCGAAAAUAGCUUGAACACACACACACCCACACACCCACUCUGAUAACCUUUCACCUUGCCCCUAGCCCUCUCCAGCACCUCUCAGAAACCUGGCCUUCUGAGUAAAGCUGGAAGUAUUUUCAGCCUGCCCCAUCCUGCAGUUAUCUGCUGAUGGAGAUAGACACUCUUGCACCCCAGAUUCACCCUUUAAUACCCUGAAAUAUUAAGAGGCAACAGCUGUAAGUACUGAAGGUUCACUUGGAGAUUAAAUGAGUCAAAGAUCAGUAGCUAACUGGCUGGAGACUUAAUUGUCAGGGCAGGGACAGUCACAGGAAGGACAUCUGGCCACAUCAGAGAGACAGUGGUGUGGACGUGUGUGUGUGUCUGGUGGACGUGUGUGGUCCAUGUGUUGGGGGUGUGUGUGGUGUAUGUGUAUUCUCUGUGUGUGCGAGCGAUGAUGACAGCAGGGAGACGGCCACCUUCAGCUUUCUACUUAGAGAUAAUUUUAAGUGGUCCCAUGUUUUGGGGGGUUUGGUCAAGGUUCUGUGCUUCUGGGAGAAUCACUCCCACCUUUGUCCAUUGACAGUAGGUCACGGUGGUUUAAGACACAGACUCGAAAUCAGACCCUCUGGCCCUGCUACUUCUACCUGUGUGACUUGGGCAAAUCCUCCCCUUCUCUAAGCCUCAAUUUCCUUGCCUAUAAAAUGGGCAGGAUCAGAGAGUUACCAUCGGAGACCGCGGAUCGCCUAGCACAGGGCCGGAAAACUGAAGUUACUAUCAUUCCUUGAUUUUCUUCCUCAACUGACAUUUGAGUUAUUCCACAUCCUUUCCUCACCUGAAGCAAUACACACAUCACCUAGAGCUCUUACUUCUCACACGGAGAUGACCCACACCCAAUUUGUUUCCUUAAGGAAGUCGCACACAAGGCGCCACCACUCUGCCACUGAAGCAAAAUGUGCAUCUCCUCUGAACUCAGCUCCCGGCCUGGCACCCGGUGCCUGUGACUUUAAAUGGGGGCAGGGUCAAAGGGCAGGGCUGGCUGAGUGAUUAUGACAACAGAGUGACCCCCAGGAGAGGUAGGACUCCAGCAGUUUUCAUCUGCAUCCUUUCCUGAGCCGAGGAGGGUGCUCUCUGCAGAGAAACCCAUCAGGUGCACAGGCACAGGCCUGGAGAGGAGCCCCAGGUGCUGGGAAGCACCUUGGACGUGGUGUUGGGAGCCGUGGGCAUGGCUCUGUGGUCUGUCCCUGACCGGCUGUGGAAGCUGGGCCCAGAUGCCUUGCCUUGCCGGGCCUCGGUGUCCUCUGCACAUCCACUAUCAGGCUCGGCUGCUCCCCCUGUGGACUUCAUGCUGAUCCCUGACUUCCCUCCCUGCACAUGCUCACAGGGGCUCAUGGGCACACUACACAUGUCCAAGCAUACAGGCUCACAGAGGCACACGUGUAUACACACACACAGGUGUGCUCUUCAGCCCCUGAAUCCUACCCAGGUCCAGGUCCAGGUCCACCUCCUGCCUUCCUGGCUUCCCAUCACACCCUGACCACCUGCAUGUCUGAACCCCAAAGGCAGCCCCGCACAAAGGCCCUUCAGCUUCCUUGUCGUGUUUGGGUUGUGGGUCGUCCUGUGCUGUUUUUAUGUCUCCAGGUGUGUAGUUAGUUAAUUCCCUGACAUCCCAAACUCCAAGCCUCUCCCCAGAUCUUCCAUAGUGUGCGGAACUGAACUUCCUGUGACGCUGGGGACACUUAAACUUCAGGGCCUGUCAUCAGCACAGUGUGAUUACACGGUCAUAUGUUUUCAUAUCAUUGGUGAAUGUAAGUAUUUUAACUACAAUCUGUUAAUAUCACUGUUUCUUUCACCUCUGAUUUGUCCCCGUCAUACCAUUCUCAUUUUGGGGGCAUCAGAGUGGCCCCUUUGGAAACUAGCUAAGGGGACAUUGAGUUGGAAGUGUGUUGGUUUGGGUGUGAAUAACCUAUGGCGUUUGGUUGAUUCUUUGUAUGUGGACAUGUCACUAGCUGCCACUGUCGGCAGAAGGCUUCCAGGAAUGCCGGGCUCCCCUGCGCAGACAGACCCUGGGUGGGGUCACAAAGGGAGCCCUGAGUGAGCAUGUCCUACGGUGCCGGGUCCUGGAAGUGCAUGGGGAGAGGGGGACAUACGGAGCCAGAGGCCCAUCGUUGGGGAAUUCCUCCAAUUGUCAGGCUGGUGAAAUCACAGGAUUCUGUUCCCAUCACCGCCUGCUCAAAAUGAAAGCUCUCUUCUGUCAGGAAUAUACUCAAUCAUGCAAAGUAAUACAAUUAUAAAUGCACCAUUCAUUUGGUCUCUUUCUUGAUGGGAAUUACUGACACAGAAUUUAUCAGAAUCCCCGCGUUUAAAUGUCUUGCUGAUUUGACAGGAAAUACUGACACUGACGGAGAUAACAUAAAAGUCAUUACACGCCACUACAAUGAGGCAUCGAUGACAAUCUGGUUAGUGAGUUUCAUCAAUUCACAGAGUAUUUUAGAUUUGUCGCUGUAAAAGAGAAGUUGAAAUGCCCUGAAAUCUCAUAGCUCACGCAGGAAAGAUACUUGACAGAGCUUUUCCCAAAGUUGAUAACAAUUCUGAAAAUUCAUAUGGCAUUUACCAGUGACAAAUUGUGAGACAGAAAGGAACCUUUUCAAACCGUGAAUAAUAAAACACAAAAUUGGAUCAACUUAUUCGAGGGGAGACUGAAUUAUCUUUGUAUUCUCUCUAUAAAAAUGAGAUUGAAAAAUGAUCAUCAUGUAAAGAGAUGAUCAAAGAGUUUGUAGCUCAAAAAAAAAAGGUAGGAAGAAAAAUAUUACAGAUGAGUGUCACUUAUUUUAGAUUUGGGGAUGCCUGCGGAAUUUGUCAGCUUUUUAAAAUUUGUUAUGUGUUGUGAUUUCUUUUCUCUUUAUAAAUGUGAUUUCGCUUUCAAAUGUAAUUUGUAUUUGGAAUUUUGAAAUCUUUUUCUAGAAGAGGGUCCCCUAAAUUGGGAAAGUUUCUGGCUCCCACAAGCUGGAUCUGCCCGGCACACCCAUCGGCCCCACCUGGGAGCUCCCUCUAACGCUGUCCCUGGGCCCACAGGAGGCCUGGAUGUGGGACAGGGUCUGGGUGACACUGACAAGAGCGCCCACUAUGAGCCAGCAGGGAAUGCGGGCCUGGCUGACAUCACACAUCCCCGGAGACCACCUAACUCUCAUUCUGAGAGGGGCAAAAGUUUUGUCACGCUGCCCGUGAGGGCCCAGACCUUUCCACCAACCAUCUCAUCAGGGCCUGGCGGGGCCCUGCCAGCCCCCCUGCAUUUCCUUUUAAUAAAAUUUAAUGUUUUCAUUUUCAAAGACCUAGAAAAUCCAAACACUUUUUAAAAGCCCCAAGGAACUAUAAAAAUUAAUAGCACAGGGAUAAUUUCUUUUUCAGUGGCGACUCAAUUAAACCUGCCAAAGUCAGACAGUGUGAUUUAAACACACCACUUGCAGAGGGACCCGCGCGGAGCAGGCAAACAUGGAAUGAAACAACAAUAUUUACCAAUUACCCUCUUGGAUGUUUCCCACCCGGCUCCUUCCCCCUGGGGAGAAUUUUUUCCUUCCCUCCCUCCCUCUGGAAGGCCCACAGGUCAACAGCCCUAAUUGUUUUCUCCUUGAAUGGUCACAUUGCUUUCAACAAGUGACUGAACUUCUUCCCUGCUCAGGGUAAUGGAAAAAUACCACCCGGGCUGGCUGCCCAGGGCAACAGGCCACGUGGACACCAUCCGGAAAGCGCGCCUGAGCUCAACUUUGCAAAUGAAAGAAGAGCCUCCCGGCUCCUCUCUGCCAGGCGCGCGCUCCAGCCAGACCAGACAUUCACAUUCCACGCUUAGUCCUGCCCCAGGGCACUUGCUCGUAUGGGCCGUGCCAGGAAUGCCCUCUCUCCUGUUCUCUGAGCACUUCAAUCUUGUAUUUUCUUUGAGGCCCCAGUCAGGAUCAAGUUCUUUUAAGAAAGCUUUCCUGAUACGAUCCAUAUCCAUGUAGAUUUUCGACUUAAUCUCACUGCCUUCAACUCCUCUGUAUUGAAUCAACUCCACCUUAUCUCUUAAUUGCAUGUAUGUUGUCUGGGCCCCGUCCUGGAGUUUUUAACACACAGGCUUCUACCAGGCUUAUCCCUCCUUCCAGACCGUAAGCUUCUCCAAGGCAGGAGCUCUUCUGGAUACACCCUUUGUUACUCACUGUAUUCAGUUUUGUGUUCUGUAUGUGAUAGAGACUUAAUGGCAUUUGGACUGAAGUGGAGUGUCUCUUCAUUCUCUACAAUAGGAGAAUGAACUGUGUGCCUCUAGAAAUAGAAUUUCAGUGCAGCAUUGUUUGCAUAAAAAAAUUAAAAUAAAAAUAAUAAAUGACCAAAAAAUGAAAAAGCUCUAAGCAAAAUGCCCAUCCAUGGAGAUGGAUUAAAAUAAAUACAAUGAUGUUCUCUAGAGCAGUUAAAGAAAGUCAAGUUGAAUUAUCAGUAAGAUUCCCCAAGCAGAAAUGUUGAGUAAAAUGGGCAAAUUGUGAACAAUAUGUUGAUUAAGACAUGAUUUAUGUAGAUCCAAUGGCACGUAAACAAAUCCUACACAGCGAUUAAUGGACUCACAUGAACAUAGCCAUGUGUGAACGCAGGGAUGGGACGGGCAUACAUGCAAAUGCUGCCAGGGCUGGCCUCCGGGAAGGGCGGGGACAGAAUGGGGAAGGGACCUCAGACCCCUGAAUCCCUUCUAGAUAUUUCUUUCUUCUCAGUCUCAAAAUCUGGAGCAAAUAAAAGAAUAUUAACAUUUGCUAAUUCUACUUGGUGAGCACACGGGCUGUCCUUGAGGCAGAGAGUGGAAAGAUGUCCCCUCCAGGAGCUGCCCCUCCUCCCAGCCUCUUUGGCUGGUGGGGGGUGGGCGGGGUUGCAGCCAAGUGACCUCAGUCUGGCGGCAGUGACCAACAUCACCUCUUGCCCUGGCCCCUGGAACACCUGGCCUGUGUCAGCCCUACAAGGCAAGCCGCUCACUGAUUUUGCCAGGACCUUCCCAGACUGUGCUGCGCUGUAGGUAAGAGGAGGAGGGAGGAUGACCGUCGGGCGAAGUCCCGGGCCUCCUGCUGCCUGCUCGGAUUGCCAGCUGGGCCCGAAGACAGGCACUCUGCCCUUGGAUUCAUCUUGCCUGACCUCUUCCCUGUCUCCAAAACACACCUUGCUCCUUGCUGACCUGUUCCCAGCUGGGAUGACCCCCUGUAAGCGCUCUCAACCUUCAAACCCUUCUGCCAGGCCCGGGCCCCGCCCUGUGACUCCCGGCGCCGCCCCAC